rnacentral:lncRNA from 1 species
UACACCUCUUGGCGAGGGUGUUCCUCCAAUUUUCUGAACAAAGCUCAAGACAUACCUUAAAUAAAAGUUGAAGUGCUCAAAUUUAGAGCAACUCCUUCAAUAACACCUUGGUCUAAUUCAACUUAGAAGCUGCCCAAAAAUCGACUCAAACAUAGCAAAUUUGGCUAAGUCUGGAUUUCCAGAUUUUUAGCAAACUUUGGCAUGAGAUAUCUUCAAAUCCUUUCACAAUCUAAACCGAC